rnacentral:lncRNA from 10 species
GCCAGCCAGGCAAAUCGCCAGAGGGAAUGCAAGCCAGGCAAACAGAACAGCAAGUGCAUAUUCCUGAGUGAGAAAGAAGCGGCCAUGCUUAAGGAGAGAAGGUGGCCACAUGGCAGAGUGCAAGACAGCAUGAAAUAGAUGAGCUCACCAAAAGAUCGUCAGGGACCAGACCAGCAUGUGCCUGGUAAGCCACAUCAAGGUGUGGAGCUUGGCCUUCACCCUACAUGCAAUGCAGGGACACUGAAGGCUGUUAUCUAGUGAGGUUAACAUGAUGGAACUGAUGUUUUAAAAGAUCGUUUGGGCUACAGUAUGAAGGAGAACCCAGAAGAGGGAGAAGGAGAAUUGGAAGGUGCAAGAUAGUGAAGAGGGCACUGUAGUAAUCCACACCUGGAAUGACGGUGGUGUAUCAAUUAGCGCUUGCUUCUUGACAAACUACUUCCAAAAUGUACAGGCUUAAAGCACAAUCAUAUUUUAGUUCAUAAUUCUGGGAGUCAACAAUGUGGGCUGGGUUCAGCUGGGUGUGUCUUCCACUGAUCUCAGCAGGGCUCACUCAUCUAUCUAUAGUCAACUGCCAGUCACCAAGCUGAGGAAGUGAUGAGGGAGACUGAGCCUCAUGUCUCUUAUCAUCUAAGUCAGUUCAUAUUGUGGUGGUUGCUGGGCUCCAAAAGCAGUGAGAGAGAACAAGUCCCCAAAACUAGCAAUUGUCAAGUCUCUCCUUGUCAUGCUAGCUAUCAGCCCAUUGGCCAAAGCAAGUCACAUAGCCAAGCUCAGAGUCAUCAUAGGACAAAACUAUUCUAGGGCUUGGAGACAGGGAGGCAUGAAAAAAUUGGAGGCUACUUCGGCAACCUUCCUCAUGUGAUCUGGACCACGAUGGUGGAAGUAGAAACGGAUGCAUGGAUAAACAGAUACAACAUUUACUGCAAUUGCCAAAGAAGCUGCCCAUCACUGUCACGCCAGCUGCACAGUCUUCACUGAGGGAGCUUCCAAGUGCCAUUUUAUUAAUGUGGAGAGAAGAAUAACAGAUCAUAAAUGUUUGAGGUCUAUCCAGCCGGAGUACAGGGGAUUAUCUAUUAUCCUGUGAGCUCGUGUUUUAUUCAUCUUCGUGUUCCCGUGAAUUAUACAGUGCAAAAACUGCUUAGAAGGCUUCCCCUCCUAGACAGCCCAACAGCACCUCAACCUCAGCCGGAAUGAAACUGAAUGUGUUACUGCGCACCCAAACAGAGCUUCUCUUCCUGCUUUCUCUCUCCUGGUAAAUGUGGCACUGCCAUUCCAAAUCUGGCAUGCAUCCUAAGAUCCUUUCUCUCCCUUAUCCCCAUCUCCCAUUCAACUGGUUUCUAUAUAAUGCUACCUCUCCUAAUGUCUCUCACACCUAUAUCCUCUUCACUUUCUGUGGGGUUUGACCAGAAGCUCCUAAUCAAAUCUUGUCCGCAAACCUACCCUUUUUUGGUCUACCUUCAACAUUCCUAUCAGAGGCAUCAUUAUAAAACAAAAACAUGAUUAUGUCACUGACCUGCUUAAAACCCUUCUUUGGCCCACCAUUGCCUAGAGUUCUCUUGAGUUCAAGCUCAGCAUCAUCCCAAACCUGCAAAGCCCCACCAUGAACUGGCCUCUCAUCUCCAGCCAGUCAUCUCCAAGCAUGGAAGCUGUAGUCAAAUGACCUGCCAAGCAUGCGCACUGAGUCUAGGAGACUUCACUUUCACCCUGCACUUUGGUCCCACCCACACUCAUUAUCUUCCUGGAGAUCUCCAAAUCAUCCCACCUCUACCAUCCCCUCUUCUAAGAAAGCUUCUCUCACACAGUCACCAUCCUUUGCCAGGGCCCCAGGGCAGAAGUCAUCUGUCCCUCUUUUUAUGAAACUAUUCUAUCUUUGUUUACCACCAUAAGAAUUCUUGACCAGGCGCAGUGGCUCACACCUGUAAUCCCAGCACUUUGAGAGGCCAAGGCAGGAAGAUCCCCUGAGGUCAGAAGUUCGAGACCAGCCUGGCCAACAUGGCAAAAUCCCAUCUCUACUAAAGGUACAAAAAUUAGCUGGGUGUGGUGGUGGGCACCUGUAAUCCCAGCUACUCAGCAGGGUGAGGCAGGAGAAUCGCUUGAACCCAGAAGGCAGAGGUUGCAGUGAGCCAAGGUCACACCACUGCACUCCAGCCUGGGCAACAAGAGUGAGACUCCAUCUCAAAAAAGAAAAGAAAAGAAAAAGAGUUCUUAUCCCAUUGUAUUAAAGGCAAAUAUUUGUAUACUACUUAAGGGCAGGGCUGUUGCCUAAUUCAAUUCUCUCUUCAGCACCCAAGACUUUAUACAUAAUAGGCACUCUUUAAACAUUUACAUAAAUUAUACAUAUUUUAAACACAAAAUGAUUGAAUUUUAAAAUGUGUUUCCAACUUAAGGGCAGGGAUGUUGCCUAAUUCAAUUCUCUCUUCAGUACCCCAGACUUUAUACAUAAUAGGCACUCUUUAAACAUUUACAUAAGUUAGAGUAUACAUAUUUUAAACACAAAAUGAUUGAAUUUUAAAAUGUGUGUCCAGCCUGGACAACAAAGUGAGACUCCAUCUCUACAAAAACAAAAACAAAAAAAAAAACACUUUUAAUUAGACAGGUGCAGUGGAACGUGUCUGUAGUUCCUACUCGAGAGGCUGAGGCAGGAGGAUCACCUGAGCCCAACCUGGGUGACAGAGUAAGACUCCAUCUUAAAAUACAUAUAUAUAUUUUAAAUGUGUCAAUGCUGGAAGAUUUUUGCUUCUCUAUUCUCAACUGCAUGAGUACAGUAACUCUACUUAUAGAAUCUGACAACUGGCAUUUGAAAGACAUAUAAAUACAUAUAUACCAAUAUAUAGGGGCAUGUGUAUGUGUCCCAGAAACUUACAAUCAAUUUCAUUAUGGCAUGGUUACACUUUACACACAAAAAGUAGGUUGGCACUUGACAGGUGUAUGUGGAUAUACAUGAUGAGAUUUAAAGAGCCCAAGAUGAAGAUAUAAGUCUCAACGUUCCUUUAAAUGAGAUUAAAAUAAUUUUUCCUCACUUUAGUUUUAUUUCUCUUUUGUAUAUCAAAACUUUUGCCUAUAGAAAUUUCUUGAAAUCAGAAGUUUAAAGACUUCUUUGGUCAAUGAUUGGUGAAUGGGUUAAAGUGCUCUACAGCAUUUGGCUUACCAACCUGGAUGCCUAGCUUACCAACAUUGAUUCCAUUUGUUGAAGCUGUUGGACAACUAAUGGCUAUUAAGUCUAUCACGAUGACCUUCAAAGUCUUUUAUUUUUUCCCCUUAAAGCUUCAAACUGGAAAUUUUUGUGAGCUACUUUGAGAUAUU